rnacentral:rRNA from 1 species
ACGGAGGAUGCGAGCGUUAUCCGGAUUUAUUGGGUUUAAAGGGUGCGUAGGCGGAUAGAUAAGUCAGUGGUGAAAACCUGCAGCUUAACUGUAGACUUGCCGUUGAUACUGUCAGUCUUGAGUAUGGUCAAGGUAGGCGGAAUGUGUAAUAAAGCGGUGUGCUGCUUCAUUACUGCCCAGGACGCCGGUUGGGGAGGCGGUCUACCGGGAUUUGAUUGACUCUGAUCCUCGGAACCGUGUUGUUAGGUGUG